UGAUGACGAGUGGCGGACGGGUGAGUAAUGUCUGGGAAACUGCCUGAUGGAGGGGGAUAACUACUGGAAACGGUGGCUAAUACCGCAUAACGUCGCAAGACCAAAGAGGGGGACCUUCGGGCCUCUUGCCAUCAGAUGUGCCCAGAUGGGAUUAGCUWGUUGGUGAGGUAACGGCUCACCAAGGCGACGAUCCCUAGCUGGUCUGAGAGGAUGACCAGCCACACUGGAACUGAGACACGGUCCAGACUCCUACGGGAGGCAGCAGUGGGGAAUAUUGCACAAUGGGCGCAAGCCUGAUGCAGCCAUGCCGCGUGUAUGAAGAAGGCCUUCGGGUUGUAAAGUACUUUCAGCGGGGAGGAAGGUGUUGYGGUUAAUAACCGCAGCAAUUGACGUUACCCGCAGAAGAAGCACCGGCUAACUCCGUGCCAGCAGCCGCGGUAAUACGGAGGGUGCAAGCGUUAAUCGGAAUUACUGGGCGUAAAGCGCACGCAGGCGGUCUGUCAAGUCGGAUGUGAAAUCCCCGGGCUCAACCUGGGAACUGCAUUCGAAACUGGCAGGCUUGAGUCUUGUAGAGGGGGGUAGAAUUCCAGGUGUAGCGGUGAAAUGCGUAGAGAUCUGGAGGAAUACCGGUGGCGAAGGCGGCCCCCUGGACAAAGACUGACGCUCAGGUGCGAAAGCGUGGGGAGCAAACAGGAUUAGAUACCCUGGUAGUCCACGCCGUAAACGAUGUCUACUUGGAGGUUGUGCCCUUGAGGCGUGGCUUCCGGAGCUAACGCGUUAAGUAGACCGCCUGGGGAGUACGGCCGCAAGGUUAAAACUCAAAUGAAUUGACGGGGGCCCGCACAAGCGGUGGAGCAUGUGGUUUAAUUCGAUGCAACGCGAAGAACCUUACCUGGUCUUGACAUCCACAGAAGAAUCCAGAGAUGGAUUUGUGCCUUCGGGAACUGUGAGACAGGUGCUGCAUGGCUGUCGUCAGCUCGUGUUGUGAAAUGUUGGGUUAAGUCCCGCAACGAGCGCAACCCUUAUCCUUUGUUGCCAGCGGUCCGGCCGGGAACUCAAAGGAGACUGCCAGUGAUAAACUGGAGGAAGGUGGGGAUGACGUCAAGUCAUCAUGGCCCUUACGACCAGGGCUACACACGUGCUACAAUGGCGCAUACAAAGAGAAGCGACCUCGCGAGAGCAAGCGGACCUCAUAAAGUGCGUCGUAGUCCGGAUUGGAGUCUGCAACUCGACUCCAUGAAGUCGGAAUCGCUAGUAAUCGUGGAUCAGAAUGCCACGGUGAAUACGUUCCCGGGCCUUGUACACACCGCCCGUCACACCAUGGGAGUGGGUUGCAAAAGAAGUAGGUAGCUUAACCUUCGGGAGGGCGCUUACCACUUUGUGAUUCAUGACUGGGGUGAAGUCGUAACAAGGUAACCGUAGGGGAACCUGCGGUUGGAUCACCUCCUUACCUUAAAGAA
rnacentral:rRNA from 1 species